CCUACGGGAGGCUGCAGUGGGGAAUAUUGGACAAUGGGGGCAACCCUGAUCCAGCCAUGCCGCGUGUGUGAAGAAGGCCCUCGGGUUGUAAAGCACUUUCAGUGAGGAAGAACGCCUGGUGGUUAAUACCCAUCAGGAAAGACAUCACUCACAGAAGAAGCACCGGCUAACUCCGUGCCAGCAGCCGCGGUAAUACGGAGGGUGCGAGCGUUAAUCGGAAUUACUGGGCGUAAAGCGCGCGUAGGUGGCUUGAUAAGCCGGUUGUGAAAGCCCCGGGCUCAACCUGGGAACGGCAUCCGGAACUGUCAAGCUAGAGUGCAGGAGAGGAAGGUAGAAUUCCCGGUGUAGCGGUGAAAUGCGUAGAGAUCGGGAGGAAUACCAGUGGCGAAGGCGGCCUUCUGGACUGACACUGACACUGAGGUGCGAAAGCGUGGGUAGCAAACAGGAUUAGAACCCGAGUAGUC
rnacentral:rRNA from 1 species